rnacentral:rRNA from 1 species
UCAAGCGAACAAGGGCGCAGGGCGAAUGCCUUGGCACUGGGAGCCGAUGAAAGACGUGAUAAGCUGCGAUAAGCUUCGGGGAGCUGCAAAUAAGCAUUGAUCCGGAGAUUUCUGAAUGAGGAAACUCACCUGGGUUCAUACUCAGGUACAAUACACUGAAAUUCAAAAUAGGUGUAUUGAGGGAACCGCCUGAACUGAAACAUCUAAGUAGGGCGAGGAAGAGACAUCAAACGAGAUUCCGUAAGUAGUGGCGAGCGAACGCGGAAGAGGGCAAACCGAAGGUAGAAAUACCUUCGGGGUACGGACUGCUUUUAGGACUCAAUCUGUUAACCGAACGGCAUGGGAAGGCCGGUCAGAGAGUGUGAGAACCACGUAGGUGAAAACGGAAAGAGCUGCGCAGAUUCCAGAGUACGGCCAGACACGUGAAACCUGGUCGGAAGAUGGGGGGACCACCCUCCAACCCUAAAUACUACCCAGUGACCGAUAGCGUAUAGUACUGUGAAGGAAAGGUGAAAAGCACCCCGGGAGGGGAGUGAAAAAGAACCUGAAACCCUGUGCCUACAAGCACCUAGAGCGCGUCAAAGCGUGAUAGGGUACUUUUUGUAGAACGGUCCGGCGAGCGAUUGUAUGCAGCAAGGUUAAGGACUUAAGGUCUGGAGCCGAAGCGAAAGCGAGUUUGAAAAGGGCGUUAAGUUGCAUAUAAUGGGCCCGAAACCGGGUGACCUACCCAUGGUCAGGUUGAAGUGGAAGUAAAAUUCCAUGGAGGACCGAACCGACCUCCGUUGAAAAGGCGGCGGAUGAACUGUGGGUAGCGGAGAAAUUCCAAUCGAACCCGGAGAUAGCUGGUUCUCCCCGAAAUAGUUUUAGGACUAGCCUCAAGUUAGAUACCUGGAGGUAAAGCACUGAAUAGCCUAGCGGCCGAGAGGUUAGCGAAGCUUAUCAAACUCAGAAUGCCAGAGUAUUGAUGCUUGGGAGUCAGACAGUGUCAGAUAAAUGUCAUUGUCAAAAGGGAAACAGCCCAGAUCUACAGCUAAGGUCCCAAAGUCAGGUUAAGUGGAAAACGAUGUGAAGAUACGCAGACAACCAGGAUGUUGGCUCAGAAGCAGCCACUCAUUCAAAGAGUGCGUAAUAGCUCACUGGUCGAGCGUCUUUGCGCGGAGAAUUUAACGGGGCUAAACCUGACACCGAAGCUUAGGCAAUACAGCAAUGUAUUGGGUAGGGGAGCGUUGUAUACGCGGAGAAACAGUAGCGCAAGCGGCUGUGGAGUGUAUAGAAGUGAGAAUGCCGGAAUGAGUAGCGCGAAUGCAGUGAGAAUCUGCAUGGCCGAAAGCCUCAGGUUUCUGGAGGAAGGUUCGUCCGCUCCAGGUUAGUCGGGAGCUAAGGUGAGGCCGGAAGGCGUAGCCGAUGCACAGACGGUAGAGAUUCCGUCACCACCAAAAGAGUUAAGCACAGGGACACAUUUGAAGUCUCAGAGCCGGGUGUUGGUUCCGGUAGAGAUCGAGGGAAAUUAGUACCGAAGUCUGAGAUGGAAGAUGGCGAGAAAAGCUGUGUGUAUUUCUGAGGUGCCCGUACCGCAAACCGACACAGGUAGGUAGGAAGAAGAUUCUAAGGCCAACGGGAGAAGGGUUGUUAAGGAACUCGGCAAAUUGACCCCGUAACUUCGGGAGAAGGGGUGCUCCAGAGAUGGAGCCGCAGAGAAUCGGCCCAAGCAACUGUUUACCAAAAACACAGGUUUGUGCUAAAUCGAAAGAUGACGUAUACGAGCUGACGCCUGCCCGGUGCUGGAAGGUUAAGAGGAGAUGUGCAAGCAUUGAAUCGAAGCCCCAGUGAACGGCGGCCGUAACUAUAACGGUCCUAAGGUAGCGAAAUUCCUUGUCAGGUAAG